AGCAGCUGCGGUAAUUCCAGCUCCAAUAGCGUAUAUUAAAGUUGUUGCAGUUAAAAAGCUCGUAGUUGAAUUUCGGGAUCAAUAUAUCGGUCGUGCCAUUGGUACGUACUGGUAUCAUUGGUUUCUCCUUUCUGACGAACCAUGAUGUCAUUAAUUUGGUGUUAUGGGAAGUUAGGACUGUUACUUUGAAAAAAUUAGAGUGUUUAAAGCAGGCUUUAGCUUGAAUACAUUAGCAUGGAAUAAUGAAAUAGGACGUUCGAACCUAUUUUGUUGGUUUCUAGGAUCAACGUAAUGAUUAAUAGGGAUAGUUGGGGGCAUUAGUAUUCAAUUGUCAGAGGUGAAAUUCUUGGAUUUAUUGAAGACUAACUACUGCGAAAGCAUUUGCCAAGGAUGUUUUCAUUAAUCAAGAACGAAAGUUAGGGGAUCGAAGACGAUCAGAUACCGUCGUAG
rnacentral:rRNA from 1 species